UGGGGAAUUUUGGACAAUGGGCGAAAGCCUGAUCCAGCAAUGCCGCGUGUGUGAAGAAGGCCUUCGGGUUGUAAAGCACUUUUGUCCGGAAAGAAAUCCUUGGCUCUAAUACAGUCGGGGGAUGACGGUACCGGAAGAAUAAGCACCGGCUAACUACGUGCCAGCAGCCGCGGUAAUACGUAGGGUGCAAGCGUUAAUCGGAAUUACUGGGCGUAAAGCGUGCGCAGGCGGUUUGCUAAGACCGAUGUGAAAUCCCCGGGCUCAACCUGGGAACUGCAUUGGUGACUGGCAGGCUAGAGUAUGGCAGAGGGGGGUAGAAUUCCACGUGUAGCAGUGAAAUGCGCAGAGAUGUGGAGGAAUACCGAUGGCGAAGGCAGCCCCCUGGGCCAAUACUGACGCUCAUGCACGAAAGCGUGGGGAGCAAACAGGAUUAGAUACCCUGGUAGUCCACGCCCUAAACGAUGUCAACUAGUUGUUGGGGAUUCAUUUCCUUAGUAACGUAGCUAACGCGUGAAGUUGACCGCCUGGGGAGUACGGUCGCAAGAUU
rnacentral:rRNA from 1 species